UUAUUUCUUACAGUUCUCAGCUUCGUCCGGUUUUCUAUUGCAAGAUACGAUCCAAUACGAUACCGAGCAGCUAUUCAUGCAGAGGUAAAUUCAUUCCAUUCGAUAAAUUUAAGUCAUGUGACUAGCAGUUGAGAACAUCAAUACAACAUAUAAAGUUUAUUCGUGUCGCAUGCUCCAAAUUAACCCAGAGAACACUUGGACCACAGAUGGUUUCGAUGCUAAUGCUCCGUCCAGUACUAUAUAAUGGUUGAGAAAGCAGUGGAUUUGUGCCAUUAUGGGAUGGGUGCCGUCCCAUGAACGGAAAUUUACAGCGGAACGGAACAACGAGACCAAUCACAAUCACAAAAAAGAAAGCAGAUGUCAGAUUGGCGCGGUACACGAGAUCGCCAGGACCUGAUGUCUCCCCACUACAUGCAUCCUAACAGGGCAUUCCGACGGAACGGGAUCCCUCUCUUUUUCUUCAAAAAGACGCCCUCGGGGCAUAAAAGGCAGAAGAACAGUCAGUAACUGAAGUAGCGUCUUAGCGUCAAGUGCCCUCGGACGGAAAUUUUCUAAGUCUUCUUCCGUCGGCGAAUCGUUGCCCCAAUUUUGCGCACCGCGUAUGAAAGUAAUUCAAAC